rnacentral:rRNA from 1 species
AGUGAACGCUGGCGGUAGGCCUAACACAUGCGAGUCGAACGGCAGCACAGUAAGAGCUUGCUCUUACGGGUGGCGAGUGGCGGACGGGUGAGGAAUACAUCGGAAUCUACUUUUUCGUGGGGGAUAACGUAGGGAAACUUACGCUAAUACCGCAUACGACCUACGGGUGAAAGCAGGGGAUCUUCGGACCUUGCGCGAUUGAAUGAGCCGAUGUCGGAUUAGCUAGUUGGCGGGGUAAAGGCCCACCAAGGCGACGAUCCGUAGCUGGUCUGAGAGGAUGAGCAGCCACACUGGAACUGAGACACGGUCCAGACUCCUACGGGAGGCAGCAGUGGGGAAUAUUGGACAAUGGGCGCAAGCCUGAUCCAGCCAUACCGCGUGGGUGAAGAAGGCCUUCGGGUUGUAAAGCCCUUUUGUUGGGAAAGAAAAGCAGCAGGUUAAUACCCCGCUGUUCUGACGGUACCCAAAGAAUAAGCACCGGCUAACUUCGUG